rnacentral:tRNA from 1 species
GCCAGUGUAGCUUAAAUAAAGUAUGACACUGAAGAUGUCAAGAUGAACC